rnacentral:tRNA from 2 species
GCUUCCGUAGCUCAGUGGAAUCAGAGCAGACGGCUUCUAAUCGUCCGGUCGUGGGUUCGAAUCCCACCGGGAGCACCA